rnacentral:misc_RNA from 1 species
UGUUUUUUUUUUUUUUUUUUCAAAAUGAUAUCCCUUAAUUUUAUUUGUUUUUCCUUCCCCAUCCAACUUCUUGCAAUGUUCUUUUUGUGUAGAAUACAUCGAAAAUUCCUUUCAACAUUAGUGUUCUUCUAAAAAGAAAGUUGAAGUCGCAAUUCCAAACAGACUCUUAAUUCCACUUCAAUCGCUUCUAAUUCUUCCGCAGCUUACUCUGACUUCCUGUGCAUUUUAUGCUAUCUGAUCUGCCAUAACAGCAUACUGGUGUUUUUAUUUUCAAAAGGGGACUUGAUUAUAAUGGUAGACUGUAAUGAAGCACAAUGGAAUAAAUUUCUCAUUCAUUACUUCUCGUCCCCUCUUUUCUUUUGGUCAAUUAUGGCAAGUUCUUGCUUGAUUUGGGUUUCCUUUAUCACAAGAAUUAUUCAUUAUUUGCUGCAUCUUGCUGA